GACGAACACUGGCGGCGUGCUUAACACAUGCAAGUCGAGCGGUAAGGCCUUUCGUGGUACACGAGCGGCGAACGGGUGAGUAACACGUGGGUGAUCUGCCCUGCACUUCGGGAUAAGCCUGGGAAACUGGGUCUAAUACCGAAUAUGACCUCCUAUCGCAUUUUGGGGGGUGGAAAGAUUGAUCGGUGCAGGAUGGGCCCGCGGCCUAUCAGCUUGUUGGUGGGGUAAUGGCCUACCAAGGCGACGACGGGUAGCCGACCUGAGAGGGUGACCGGCCACACUGGGACUGAGACACGGCCCAGACUCCUACGGGAGGCAGCAGUGGGGAAUAUUGCGCAAUGGGCGAAAGCCUGAUGCAGCGACGCCGCGUGAGGGAUGACGGCCUUCGGGUUGUAAACCUCUUUCAGCAGGGACGAAGCGCAAGUGACGGUACCUGCAGAAGAAGCACCGGCUAACUACGUG
rnacentral:rRNA from 1 species